rnacentral:misc_RNA from 1 species
GAUGAAGAACGUAGCGAAAUGCGAUAAGUAAUGUGAAUUGCAGAAUUCAGUGAAUCAUCGAAUCUUUGAACGCACAUUGCGCCCGCCAGUAUUCUGGCGGGCAUGCCUGUCUGAGCGUCAUUUCAACCCUCAUGCCCCUAGGGCGUGGUGUUGGGGAUCGGCCAAAGCCCGCGAGGGACGGCCGGCCCCUAAAUCUAGUGGCGGACCCGUCGUGGCCUCCUCUGCGAAGUAGUGAUAUUCCGCAUCGGAGNGNGACGAGCCCCUGCCGUUAAACCCCCAACUUUCCAAGGUUGACCUCAGAUCAGGUAGGAAUACCCGCUGAACUUAAGCAUAUCAAUAAGCGGAGGA